rnacentral:rRNA from 1 species
UACGAAGGGGGCUAGCGUUGUUCGGAAUCACUGGGCGUAAAGGGCGCGUAGGCGGCCGUUCAAGUCGGGGGUGAAAGCCUGUGGCUCAACCACAGAAUGGCCUUCGAUACUGGACGGCUCGAGACCGGAAGAGGUCAGUGGAACUGCGAGUGUAGAGGUGAAAUUCGUAGAUAUUCGCAAGAGCACCAGUGGCGAAGGCGGCUGACUGGUCCGGUUCUGACGCUGAGGCGCGAAAGCGUGGGGAGCAAACAGG